CCUACGGGCGGCAGCAGUGAGGAAUAUUGGUCAAUGGACGAGAGUCUGAACCAGCCAAGUAGCGUGAAGGAUGACUGCCCUAUGGGUUGUAAACUUCUUUUAUAUGGGAAUAAAAUGUUCCACGUGUGGGAUUUUGUAUGUACCAUAUGAAUAAGGAUCGGCUAACUCCGUGCCAGCAGCCGCGGUAAUACGGAGGAUCCGAGCGUUAUCCGGAUUUAUUGGGUUUAAAGGGAGCGUAGGUGGAUUGUUAAGUCAGUUGUGAAAGUUUGCGGCUCAACCGUAAAAUUGCAGUUGAAACUGGCAGUCUUGAGUACAGGAGAGGCGGGCGGAAUUCGUGGUGUAGCGGUGAAAUGCUUAGAUAUCACGAAGAACUCCGAUUGCGAAGGCAGUUCACUGGACUGCAACUGACACUGAGGCUCGAAAGUGUGGGUAUCAAACAGGAUUAGAUACCCCGGUAGUC
rnacentral:rRNA from 1 species